rnacentral:lncRNA from 1 species
GGGGUCAGCUUCCUGAACCUGCAUCUGUAAUUUGUAUUUCAGGUGAUUGUUGGGCAGGUGAUCUGCGUCUGCAACUUGGAAAAACAUUUCUUGGAAUGUUUACUGCUUUGUCCCUGCUCAGAAGAUUCAAACCGAAUGAAGCUCCUCUCCGUUCACCAUGAAAGGAGGCUCUGCCAGUUAUUGGCACCCUUAUGCAGCAGGAGCAUGGGGCCUCAUUCCCCAUGUCCGAUGUCCUGAGAGGCAGUCACCAUCUCCCAGAAUGAGCAGUUGGAGGAGGGCAACGGACCUGCCAGUCAGCAUCCGAAGAAAAAUCUCUUCUUCUUUCUCUAUUCCUGUUUCCCUUCGGCCACUCUCUUGUAUCUCCUUACCUCUAAUACAUUGAAAUUCUAAGUCCUACAGAAUAUAGAGAAGAGCAAAGAGUGAGUGAGGAUAGGAGGAAGAAAAAUAAUGAGAAAAGGAAGAAGUAUGAUGGGAGAAAGGA